UCGGGAAUUUUGGGCAAUGGGCGAAAGCCUGACCCAGCAACGCCGCGUGAGUGGCGAAGGCCUUAGGGUUGUAAAACUCUUUCGUCGGGGACGAUAAUGACGGUACCCGAAGAAGAAGCUCCGGCUAACUUCGUGCCAGCAGCCGCGGUAAUACGAAGGGAGCUAGCGUUGUUCGGAAUCACUGGGCGUAAAGCGCACGUAGGCGGAUAGUUAAGUCAGGGGUGAAAUCCUGGGGCUCAACCCCAGAACUGCCUUUGAUACUGGCUGUCUCGAGGUCGAGAGAGGUUGGUGGAAUUCCUAGUGUAGAGGUGAAAUUCGUAGAUAUUAGGAAGAACACCAGUGGCGAAGGCGGCCAACUGGCUCGAUACUGACGCUGAGGUGCGAAAGCGUGGGGAGCAAACAGGAUUAGAUACCCCCGUAGUCCCUGAGCGGGCUGGCAAGGCGCAU
rnacentral:rRNA from 1 species